CCUACGGGCGGCAGCAGUGGGGAAUAUUGGGCAAUGUGCGCAAGCCUGACCCAGCAACGCCGCGUGAAGGAAGAAGGCUUUCGGGUUGUAAACUUCUGUUGUCAGGGAAGAGUAGAAGACGGUACCUUACGAAUACGCCACGACUAACUACGUGCCAGCAGCCGCGGGAAUCCGUAGGUGGCAAGCGUUGUCCGGAUUUACUGGGUGUAAAGGGCGUGUAGCAGGGUUAACAAGUCAGAUGUGAAAUCCUUCGGCUUAACCGCAGAACUGCAUUUGAAACUGUUGAUCUUGAGUACUGGAGAGGCAGACGGAAUUCCUAGUGUAGCGGUGAAAUGCGUAGAUAUAAGGAGGAACACCAGUGGCGAAGGCGGUCUGCUGGACAGCAACUGACGGUGAGGCGCGAAAGCGUGGGGAGCAAACAGGAUUAGAUACCCAAGUAGUC
rnacentral:rRNA from 1 species